rnacentral:lncRNA from 1 species
AGCAGUCCGAAUGGGCGUCUUCUGCACAGUCUUCCAGCUUCCAGGGAGCGUGUGUGUUCACCAAGGCCGAAUGCUACAAGACUAGGGAAACUUGUAGAUCAAUGAGCUUUGCUGUAGGGUGGGUGAGAAAUUGGCUUCUAUAUUUUCCCAAGUAUCUGAAACGCCUUCCUCUGCCUACGCCAUCGUGGAAGUCUUUCAACUCUGCUGAAAGUCUCAACUGGACUUCCUGGCAAACUUCUUAGCCCUGAGUCCUCCACCCAGCCCUUAUGACAGUCCCCCAAAGCAACAUUCAAAUAGCCUCUCGUAGUUUCAAACUUGAGACCCUCAAUUCUGUAUUAAGAAAGAUUCAUUUAUCCCAGGCUACCAUAUGCUUUUGCAUGGUAAAUCGUAACUCUAAGGAGAGCUCUGAUGGCCAGAGUAGUUCAGUAACUGCAAUGAACCUGUUAGUGUGGUAUGAAGAGUUUCCA